CAGGCUUAACACAUGCAAGUCGAGGGGCAGCAUUUUAGUUUGCUUGCAAACUGAAGAUGGCGACCGGCGCACGGGUGAGUAACACGUAUCCAACCUGCCGAUAACUCCGGGAUAGCCUUUCGAAAGAAAGAUUAAUACCGGAUAGUAUACGAAUAUCGCAUGAUAUUUUUAUUAAAGAAUUUCGGUUAUCGAUGGGGAUGCGUUCCAUUAGUUUGUUGGCGGGGUAACGGCCCACCAAGACUACGAUGGAUAGGGGUUCUGAGAGGAAGGUCCCCCACAUUGGAACUGAGACACGGUCCAAACUCCUACGGGAGGCAGCAGUGAGGAAUAUUGGUCAAUGGGCGCGAGCCUGAACCAGCCAAGUAGCGUGAAGGAUGAAGGCUCUAUGGGUCGUAAACUUCUUUUAUAUGGGAAUAAAGUUUUCCACGUGUGGAAUUUUGUAUGUACCAUAUGAAUAAGGAUCGGCUAACUCCGUGCCAGCAGCCGCGGUAAUACGGAGGAUCCGAGCGUUAUCCGGAUUUAUUGGGUUUAAAGGGAGCGUAGGUGGAUUGUUAAGUCAGUUGUGAAAGUUUGCGGCUCAACCGUAAAAUUGCAGUUGAAACUGGCAGUCUUGAGUACAGUAGAGGUGGGCGGAAUUCGUGGUGUAGCGGUGAAAUGCUUAGAUAUCACGAAGAACUCCGAUUGCGAAGGCAGCUCACUAGACUGUCACUGACACUGAUGCUCGAAAGUGUGGGUAUCAAACAGGAUUAGAUACCCUGGUAGUCCACACAGUAAACGAUGAAUACUCGCUGUUUGCGAUAUACAGUAAGCGGCCAAGCGAAAGCAUUAAGUAUUCCACCUGGGGAGUACGCCGGCAACGGUGAAACUCAAAGGAAUUGACGGGGGCCCGCACAAGCGGAGGAACAUGUGGUUUAAUUCGAUGAUACGCGAGGAACCUUACCCGGGCUUAAAUUGCAACAGAAUAUAUUGGAAACAGUAUAGCCGUAAGGCUGUUGUGAAGGUGCUGCAUGGUUGUCGUCAGCUCGUGCCGCGAGGUGUCGGCUUAAGUGCCAUAACGAGCGCAACCCUUAUCUUUAGUUACUAACAGGUGAUGCUGAGGACUCUAGAGAGACUGCCGUCGUAAGAUGUGAGGAAGGUGGGGAUGACGUCAAAUCAGCACGGCCCUUACGUCCGGGGCUACACACGUGUUACAAUGGGGGGUACAGAAGGCGGCUACCUGGUGACAGGAUGCUAAUCCCAAAAACCUCUCUCAGUUCGGAUCGAAGUCUGCAACCCGACUUCGUGAAGCUGGAUUCGCUAGUAAUCGCGCAUCAGCCAUGGCGCGGUGAAUACGUUCCCGGGCCUUGUACACACCGCCCGUCAAGCCAUGAAAGCCGGGGGUACCUGAAGUACGUAACCGCAAGGAGCGUCCUAGGGUAAAACUGGUAAUUGGGGCUAAGUCAUAACA
rnacentral:rRNA from 1 species